CUGUGUUUCCACUGCUCCUGAAGACACUGGAAGUGCCUCGCCUUCUUUCGUCGGGUAGCCUGCCGGUGGCGGAGCUGAAUAUGGGAAUUUCGCUACUGCUCCUGCUGCUAAAAUCAACACAAAACAGGGGUACACAAAUUACUUAUCUUCUAGAGAGACGUACGAAAGCAGCCCAACCAGACCGGACCCCACGCGUUUAUGCAAGUGCCGUUCUGUUCUUGUCGCCACCUCAUGCUGUGCGGUGUUUUUUAAGUCAAAGCUUUGCUGUUUGCCUUGCCGUAUAUGACCUUGUAAAAGCACUUGUUUAGUUCUUUUCUUUUCUUCAAAGAAAAUAAAUUUUCUUUGUGCACCUGUACCCGUUUUCUUUCGUUAUGUUCAUGUAUCAUCUGUUAUAUCUGCCAGGAUUUGUUGCCAGCUUGACAUUAUGCCGAAUUUAAUAAUUUUCUUCUUUUAGAAGAUA